rnacentral:rRNA from 1 species
CCUACGGGGUGCAGCAGUGAGGAAUAUUGGUCAAUGGACGAGAGUCUGAACCAGCCAAGUAGCGUGAAGGAUGACUGCCCUAUGGGUUGUAAACUUCUUUUAUAUGGGAAUAAAAUGUUCCACGUGUGGGAUUUUGUAUGUACCAUAUGAAUAAGGAUCGGCUAACUCCGUGCCAGCAGCCGCGGUAAUACGGAGGAUCCGAGCGUUAUCCGGAUUUAUUGGGUUUAAAGGGAGCGUAGGUGGAUUGUUAAGUCAGUGGUGAAAGUUUGCGGCUCAACCGUAAAAUUGCAGUUGAAACUGGCAGGCUUGAGUACAGUAGAGGUGGACGGAAUUCGUGGUGUAGCGGUGAAAUGCUUAGAUAUCACGAAGAACUCCGAUUGCGAAGGCAGCUCACUGGACUGCAACUGACACUGAGGCUCGAAAGUGUGGGUAUCAAACAGGAUUAGAUACCCGAGUAGUC